rnacentral:rRNA from 1 species
UGGGGAAUAUUGCACAAUGGGCGCAAGCCUGAUGCAGCCAUGCCGCGUGUAUGAAGAAGGCCUUCGGGUUGUAAAGUACUUUCAGCGGGGAGGAAGGCGAUAAGGUUAAUAACCUUGUCGAUUGACGUUACCCGCAGAAGAAGCACCGGCUAACUCCGUGCCAGCAGCCGCGGUAAUACGGAGGGUGCAAGCGUUAAUCGGAAUUACUGGGCGUAAAGCGCACGCAGGCGGUCUGUCAAGUCGGAUGUGAAAUCCCCGGGCUCAACCUGGGAACUGCAUUCGA